CCCGCCGGACCUGACUGCUAUCGGAUUGAUACUAAGCCAUGCGAGUCAUUGUAGCAAUACAAGGCAGACGGCUCAGUAACGCGUAGUCAACCUACCCUAUGGACGGGAAUAACCUCGGGAAACUGAGUAUAAUGCCCGAUAGAACAUUAUGCCUGGAAUGGUUUAUGUUCCAAAUGAUUUAUCGCCGUAGGAUGGGACUGCGGCCUAUCAGUUUGUUGGUGAGGUAAUGGCCCACCAAGACUAUUACAGGUACGGGCUCUGAGAGGAGUAGCCCGGAGAUGGGUACUGAGACACGGACCCAGGCCCUAUGGGGCGCAGCAGGCGAGAAAACUUUGCAAUGUGCGAAAGCACGACAAGGUUAAUCCGAGUGAUUUCUGCUAAAGAAAUCUUUUACCAGUCGUAAAACCACUGGUGAAUAAGGGGUGGGCAAGUUCUGGUGUCAGCCGCCGCGGUAAAACCAGCACCUCAAGUGGUCAGGAUGAUUAUUGGGCCUAAAGCAUCCGUAGCCGGCUUUGUUAGUUUUCGGUUAAAUCCAUGUGCUCAACGCAUGGGCUGCCGAAAAUACUGCAUAGCUAGGGAGUGGGAGAGGUAGACGGUACUCAGUAGGAAGGGGUAAAAUCCUUUGAUCUAUUGAUGACCACCUGUGGCGAAGGCGGUCUACCAGAACACGUUCGACGGUGAGGGAUGAAAGCUGGGGGAGCAAACCGGAUUAGAUACCCGGGUAGUCCCAGCUGUAAACGAUGCAGACUCGAUGAUGCAUUGGCAUAAUAGCCAGUGCAGUGUCGCAGGGAAGCCGUUAAGUCUGCCGCCUGGGAAGUACGUACGCAAGUAUGAAACUUAAAGGAAUUGGCGGGGGAGCACCACAAGGGGUGAAGCCUGCGGUUCAAU
rnacentral:rRNA from 1 species